GGGCCGGUCGUCUAGUCUGGUCAGGACGCCGCCCUCACACGGCGGAGGUCCCAGGUUCAAAUCCUGGCCGGCCCA
rnacentral:tRNA from 2 species